rnacentral:piRNA from 1 species
AGCCAGAGAGAAUUCUGGACACAGGAAC